rfam:Camelus ferus unplaced genomic scaffold scaffold506, whole genome shotgun sequence.
GAGGGCAUAGCUUAAGUGGUAGAGCGCAUGCUUAGCAUACACAAGGUCCUGGGUUCAAUCCCCAGUACCUCCU